CGGCAGCUCACGUCGCUGGUACGCGCGUAAAUGUGAGCUGUUUACUAAUCGUUGAUAACUAUUAACAUCAAAAGAUGUGUGGCUUGUGUCGCUAAAUUUGACAGGCAAAUAAGCUCGGUAAAUAAGAACGUCACACAUGCAAAUGUGCACCACGACACCACCGUGCGUUUCGGAUUCGAUUCAGCAGUCAAUCGCCGGUAUAGUUGUUGGUGUCGUCUACUCCUCUACUGUGUACUUUUGCCUUGCUUUUGUAUCGAGGGAAUAAUUCUGAUAAUUCUGCACAAGGUGUAGAGUGCUUGCAUCGUGCGUAGUGAAUAUGUCGCUCGUGCGACGUGAUGUCCUCCGCCUCUACAAGCAAAUAUUGCGAACGGGUCGCACAUGGACGUCCACGAACGAGCACAAAACUGACGAAGAGAAGCAAUAUAUACUUUCUGAAGCCCGCACGUUGUUCAGAAAAAAUAGAACGAUUAAAGACGAGGAAACAAUCAAGGAAUGCUUGAGAGAGGCGCAGACUCGCCUUGACUUAGCCCUGCAUUAUCACAACCCGUAUCCACGGCCCGUCAACUUGCCAACCCAUUCGGUGAGUCCGUCCCACUCGAAGCACAUGCAGUCACAACAGAGGCUGUGGAAAGCGUCGAGGCCCAUCUACUUGCGUUCCUCCGAGGAUGACAACCAGGAGAAAAGUGGAAGAUAACAGCUACGUGGUGCUGACUGUUAGGGUGGCUGCCUAUUGCUCUGAAGAUUGGACACCAUGGUGUACAAUAGUGGCCUAAAAACAAAAUGUACGCUAGUCAGUCCCUCUCUGUCACAUAGCCUGAGAGGAUAUCAAUUCUUUGAUCUUCUGGUUUUCCACUUCCAUCUUAGAAUGGUAACACUUUUAAAUCGAAAAGGUGAUAAGGUAUUUAAUAUUCAGGGUGUUCUACAGAUGGUACACCAUAUAUUCUCUAAGAAGUGAAUUUCCUUAAACAAAUGUACCACGUACAGCUUAGUAGUUGAUGGAGCUAUGCCCAGUUGUGCUUCGAGAACUGGGCGAUUGACUGGGGUCCAUGAGGUGUGUCCAGACUCUGAAGAAUAUAAGUAUGUUGCAGGAAUUAGGAAUGUACAUUAUUUACUGCGGAUCAGCCUUACAGUGUGCUUAAAGGGACGGUCGCAUCCGAAAACCCAUCUAUGAAACCCAUACCGCUAUGUUCCACAUUGGCCGACAAUCUACUUGGCAAAUUUUUUUCGUCAGAAAAUUACUUAGAUAUUAAAAUUGACAAACUUUAAAGAUCGUGGCUGUGGAGGGCUGCGGCGGCGUGACGUCACCCCCUAAGCGGAGGAGUGAGAGGGUGGCUUUCAGAGGAGAAGGGCGCCGUCCAGGUGCCCUGUAACUCUUUGUGACGUCCGCAGAAUUCCUUUUCUCAAGGUCGCGCCCUCACUGGUUCUUAGGGAGUGACGUUUCCUCGUUUCUCCAGAGACGGAAUUCUGGCAUCUCCUCUUCGAAUAACGGUCGGACUAUGCCACUCUUUCGUGUGAGAUUUUCGAUACCAUGCUCAGUGGUCCACAGGGAAUAAACUGACAAUAUAGUUUUGAAAUCGACUGGAACGGAUGCGACCGUCCCUCUUAAAGUCACUAAAUAGGGAGCAGAGUAGCGACGCUGAGCCACGCCAGCGAGCGAGACCGUCAUCUUGGGUCCUGCGCGGCUGCAUCGCCUAGCAAUGGGACGCCAAUCUCCCCCUUCUCCGCCAGAACAGCUAGCAGUCGAGCCAGCUCGCAACCCAGGAAACCGGUUUUGGAUGGAGGGGACUCAACAUGGACGGUGCGUUCUUGGAAGGAGAAACCACGUGACACGAUAGGCCCAAUCGCAGACACCGAACAGCGGCUCCGGAGUGGAAAAGGAAUGCGAUACUCUGUACCCCUAUUCAGCGACUCUAGUCCCUCUAAGUUGGACGGACAGGCAUGCCUACAGUUGCAAACUCUCUUGCAAACCAACUUUCUCUGAGAAUGCGCGCUUCCAAAAGGGAAUUUUUUGCUUGGCAGUUCCUGAAGGCAGUAUGUUCAUUUCACGCAGUAAAAGAAAAAAGAAACAUGUUCAAGGUGCUUCCAUGUUCCGUUAAUGGUCAUUAUAUUGAUUAAGUGCAGCUUUUAGGCAAUAAAAACUUCAGUGUAGUGUUUGUC